CAGGAAACCCAUGAAACCCUACUCCACUUCUAUACAACAACUCUAUAUAAACAACGUUAGAUCUUUAAUUCGUUGCCCCUCACUAGCUCUAACCUCGGAACCAAAAAACAAGAACAAAAAACCAGACACAAAAAAUGAGACGAUUAUUCGUGGUGUUUGCAUUAAUCAUGAUGAUGAUAACUUGUUCUUGCUUGGUGACUGGGCGUCAAGUAGAGAGGAAGCUAGUGGUUGAGGACACUGAUGAUGAGAACGAUAAUAAUGGUUAUAUGAACUCUUCUGGCAAUUCUGAUUUGGAUAAUCACCAUUUCAAACGCAGGCAAGACUUCUACAACAAUAACACUAAUAAUAAUGAUGGUAAUAAUGGACCUAAAGGAGGGAGUGCAUGAAAAUACAAAUGGCGGAAGGUUGUGAAGAAGCUAGUAACGUUACACAAAUAAAAAAACAUAUCUUAAUGCUAUAAUAUAUUAUGUGUAAUAGCUAGUGUUUAUAUUCCAUAACACAUAGUUUAUGGUGUGCGCUGCAAAU